rnacentral:lncRNA from 1 species
CAGAGACCGCUGUCACUUUGGACUCACCAGGUUAUAUUUCCAGAGAACCUGUUGCAACACGGCGUACAGAGACCGCUGUCACUUUGGACUUACCAGGUUAUAUUUCCAGAGAACCUGUUGCAACACGGCGUACAGAGGCCGCUGUCACUUGGGAUUCACCAGUUACCAGUUACCAACCAAGGGAGAUGGAUAAUAGAUUUCCAGCCAUUAGUAUCAUAUCUGUGUAUUUAAUAAGCACCUAUCUGUGUGAUAUUCUAUGAU